GGUGCCUGCAGGGAAAGGAUCCCUGGAUCCAGGGGUCAAACCCCACCACAACCGCAGAGACACCCACCCUGGGGAGCAAGUGCUGUGGCUUGGGCUGCUGGGAGGGGCAGGAGGCUCUGGGGGGCCUGUCUUGCUCCAAAACCCAGUGGUCAGCCACAGGCAGGGGCUGCUGAGGUCAAACAUGCUUUUUUCAGGCACAUGCUUGGGAAAGUUUGUGGGCUUGCAAGUCUGCCGAGAUGAGUAGACAGCACUGGCUCACUAUUUGAAUUUGGGUUUGGGAGUGGCUUUGAGGCUUUAAAAUACUUCUGCAAAGCUUUUUGUCACAGCUACAGCAUUCUGCUUCCUUCCCUCAAUGUGUGAAGCUGCCGGGACUUUGUAUAGGAAGCACAUGUGAUACAUGGCUAAAGUGAGGAACAAAACUCAGCAGGACUCAGUUCAUAAAACAGCAGCUUCCCCCAAACCUGACAGAAAGAAAUCCCUGUCCCCUGAGUGGAUGGAAGGGUGGAAUGCUGGAAGGGUUUGGCUUGGAAGGGACCUUGAAAGCUCAUCCUGCUCCACCCCCUGCCAUGGGGCAGGGACACCUCUCACUAUCCCAGCUUGCUCCAAGCCCUGUCCGACCUGACCUUGGACACUGCCAGGGACAGGGCAGCUACAGCUUUUCUGGGCACCCUGUGCCAGGGCCUCCCCACCCUCGCAGGGAAGAAUUUCUUCCUAAUAACCAACCUUAAUUUUGUCCUUCAAAACAAGGUGAAUCUGAAAACUUCUUUGCUACAUUCUUACUUGUGUUCUGUCAAAAAAAAAAAAAAAAAAAAAAUCCAAAACAAUCCAAAAAUACUAACAGGUAUCCUUUUUCUCCCCUCACUCCCAACAAUGUGGCACAAAUUCCAGUGAUGGGAAGAAGCUGGAAGAAGCUGGAAUUCACACAGUGGAGGCUGUGCCUUUUGCACCAAGAGAAGGAGCAGCUGAACAUUAAAGGCAUCAGUGAAACCAAAGGUGACAAAAUCCUGGCUGAAGCCGUGUUUGCUGUCAGUGCCGAUAGAAUGGGAGAUGCUAAAGACUGAAAACUCCUUUUCUCCCGCUGGAUCCCCAGUCCGUGUCCCAGAGAGGCUCCUUUCCUGCUGGCACUGCAGGGACGCUCCUGAGGCAGCGGGUGGAGGGAGCCGUGCGGCUCAGUGUGGGAACCGCUGGGACGCGCCGAGCGCAGCCGGAGCUGUGGGAAGAGAUCUCCCUCUGGGCUGCAGGCACAGGGCAGGGCCGGGAGCUUCCUGGGCGGCGUUCCCACAGCAAUUCCCUGCCAGUCUCCCUGGAUCCCACCCUGGACACGGUGCAGACAAUCUCGGUGGCCACAGCUGGGAGCUCGGUGAAUUGGAAGCAAAGCUGAAGAGUUUGUCCACCAAGAGAGGUGGUGAUCUAUAGAGCAAAGCAGAGUGGUAUUCCACAUGGGGAAUUUGGGAUUUGGGAUGGUCCCAAUCCAUAAUCCAUAAUCUUUCUGUUCAUUUUCUUUUGGAUGCUGCAGCCUGAUGGGCUGGGGGAGCUGCUCCUUUCCGUUUCCAUUUAAUUUUCUGUAUUUAAUUAAUUCUCUGUGGAAAUCUGCUUUUAAUAAAAAGGCCCAGGAGGAUA